rnacentral:rRNA from 1 species
GACGAACGCUGGCGGCGUGCCUAAUACAUGCAAGCCGUGCGGACCUUUUAAAAGCUUGCUUUUAAAAGGUUAGCGGCGGACGGGUGAGUAACACGUGGGCAACCUGCCUGUAAGACUGGGAUAACGCCGGGAAACCGGGGCUAAUACCAGAUAGUUUUUUCCUCCGCAUGGAGGAAAAAGGAAAGGCGGCUUCGGCUGCCACUUACAGAUGGGCCCGCGGCGCAUUAGCUAGUUGGCGGGGUAACAGCCCACCAAGGCAACGAUGCGUAGCCGACCUGAGAGGGUGAUCGGCCACAUUGGGACUGAGACACGGCCCAAACUCCUACGGGAGGCAGCAGUAGGGAAUCUUCCGCAAUGGACGAAAGUCUGACGGAGCAACGCCGCGUGAGUGAAGAAGGCCUUCGGGUCGUAAAACUCUGUUGCCGGGGAAGAACAAGUGCCGUUCGAACAGGGCGGCGCCUUGACGGUACCCGGCCAGAAAGCCACGGCUAACUAC